GUGCUCUUCAGGAGCUCAAAUACUAAAAUUAGAACACAGAAAAGAUUAGCGUGAUCCCUGAGCAAAGGAUGAUAUGAAAAUUUAUAUAUGAAACAGUUUGUAUCUUU